rnacentral:rRNA from 1 species
UUUCCAGAGAUGGAUUGGUGCCUUCGGGAACGUCUGAGACAGGUGCUGCAUGGCUGUCGUCAGCUCGUGUUGUGAAAUGUUGGGUUAAGUCCCGCAACGAGCGCAACCCUUAUCCUUUGUUGCCAGCGGUCCGGCCGGGAAACUCAAAGGAGACUGCCAGUGAUAAACUGGAGGAAGGUGGGGAUGACGUCAAGUCAUCAUGGCCCUUACGAGUAGGGCUACACACGUGCUACAAUGGCGCAUACAAAGAGAAGCGACCUCGCGAGAGCAAGCGGACCUCAUAAAGUGCGUCGUAGUCCGGAUUGGAGUCUGCAACUCGACUCCAUGAAGUCGGAAUCGCUAGUAAUCGUGGAUCAGAAUGCCACGGUGAAUACGUUCCCGGGCCCUGUACACACCGCCCGUCACACCAUGGGAGUGGGUUGCAAAAGAAGUAGGUAGCUUAACCUUCGGGAGGGCGCUUACCACUUUGUGAUUCAUGACUGGGGUGAAGUCGUAACAAGGUAAGCGUAGUGCU